GUCUCAGUGCAAGCCGUCCUGUACGGUGAAACCGCGAAAGGCUCAUUAAAUCAGUUAUGGUUCCUUAGAUAGUACCCACGUUACUUGGAUAACUGUGGUAAUUCUAGAGCUAAUACAUGCCGACAGAGUUCCGACCAGCGUCGUGGCGGCUUGCCGUUCGCGACGUUCGGAAGGAGCGCUUUUAUUAGAUCAAAAUCGGCCAAGCGCAACGUUCGCGUAGCGUUAGUGGCCCGCGCAAAGACUUGACGACUCUGAAUAACUUCGAGCUGAUCGCACGGUCUCGCACCGGCGACGUAUCUUUCAAAUGUCUGCCUUAUCAACUGUCGACGGUACGUUCGAUGCUUACCGUGGUGGUAACGGGUAACGGGGAAUCAGGGUUCGAUUCCGGAGAGGGAGCCUGAGAAACGGCUACCACAUCCAAGGAAGGCAGCAGGCGCGCAAAUUACCCACUCCCAGCUCGGGGAGGUAGUGACGAAAAAUAACGAUACGGGACUCAUCCGAGGCCCCGUAAUCGGAAUGAGUACACUUUAAAACCUUGGUCACACGAGGAUCAAUUGGAGGGCAAGUCUGGUGCA
rnacentral:rRNA from 1 species